CCUACGGGCGGCAGCAGUGGGGGAUAUUGCACAAUGGGGGAAACCCUGAUGCAGCGACGCCGCGUGGGUGAAGAAGCGCCUCGGCGCGUAAAGCCCCGUCAGCAGGGAAGAAAAUGACGGUACCUGAAGAAGAAGCCCCGGCUAACUACGAGCCAGCAGCCGCGGCAAUACGUAGGGGGCAAGCGUGAUCCGGAUUUACUGGGUGUAAAGGGGGCGCAGACGGCGAUGCAAGUCAGGAGUGAAAGUCCGGGGCCCAACCCCGGGACUGCUGUUGAAACUGCGUGGCUAGAGUGCAGGAGGGGCAGGCGGAAUUCCUGGUGUAGCGGUGAAAUGCAUAGAUAUCAGGAAGAACACCGAUGGCGAAGGCGGCCUGCUGGACUGCAACUGACGUUGAGGCCCGAAAGCGUGGGGAGCGAACAGGAUUAGAUACCCGUGUAGUC
rnacentral:rRNA from 1 species